rnacentral:sRNA from 1 species
UGAAAUUUGUCGGUCCCU